UAAUUUUUAUUUUUAUUUCUUCUUUAGACUGCACAUUAAUCCAAUAGAAUCCAAGCGAUUAUUCUGGAUCACGUCAUACGGUUACCUACUUACGUUUUUAUGGUUUGUAUGUAUACAGUUAUUAUUUCUUGUAUUAUUAUAGCAAGUAUCGUUGGUAAACACUUUCUGUAUCACACUUCCACUACAAGUAUACACUGUCGUCGAUUUUUGUAGCUUAAUGAGCUGCAGGUGGAGUGACGAAUCCUAUUUUAUUUAAGCGUGCACUCAUUUUGAUUGUUGAGUGAAAUGGUCUACUCAAUCGAUGAGUAUAUGGUGGACUACAACAAUGUGGGCCUUUAAGGCGCUACGCUGCUUGAACGUUUUGCCACACACCGGACACUUAAAUUUCGGAGCCAUGCCACACUCGUAACGCAGGUGCUGCAUAACUCCUUGCUUGUACUUGUAUGACCGGCCACAUCCAUUCGAGCAAACAAAUCGGGAUACUGCAAUCAUAAACGCAAGUAUAUUAUUGGUAAACACUUUCUGUGUCACAAUACCACUACAAGUAUACACUGUCAUCGAUUUUUGUAGCUUAAUCAGUUGCAAGUAGGAGUGACGAAUCUUAUUUUAUUC